UUUUUAGGUUGGUUAGGCUAAGAGAUCGUGAACUUCUUUUGGUUACCAGCAAUGAAACCCCACCCAUGUUUGUUCAGAGGAUUUGCUCUUGAGAAAUGUCACUGGGGAAGCUGCCUUAAAUCAACAACAGUUCUUACACACCAGCAGGCGUGACUUCUCUGCGCUGGUAAUAUGAGACUUUGCCUGUAUCUAUGAAAAUGACGCCUGGAAACUCUUCCAAGAAUGAAAGAUGGAGAAGCCCCAACUCUUCAGUUCCUAAUCAAAAUACUAAAAGGCAGGCAUGAUUCUUACCCAACUUCAUUUAGAGGAAGAAUGGAAAGAUCAGUCAAUUCCGGUUCUCUCAGUUUCUAAUUUUACAAUCUUAAAUCCAGUUCUUCACAUUUU